AACGAACGCUGGCGGCAGGCUUAACACAUGCAAGUCGAACGCCCCGCAAGGGGAGUGGCAGACGGGUGAGUAACGCGUGGGAAUCUACCCAGUUCUACGGAAUAACCCAGGGAAACUUGGACUAAUACCGUAUACGCCCUACGGGGGAAAGAUUUAUCGGAAUUGGAUGAGCCCGCGUUGGAUUAGCUAGUUGGUGGGGUAAUGGCCUACCAAGGCGACGAUCCAUAGCUGGUCUGAGAGGAUGAUCAGCCACACUGGGACUGAGACACGGCCCAGACUCCUACGGGAGGCAGCAGUGGGGAAUAUUGGACAAUGGGCGCAAGCCUGAUCCAGCCAUGCCGCGUGAGUGAUGAAGGCCUUAGGGUUGAAAAGCUCUUUCAGUGGGGACGAUAGUGACGGUACCCACAGAAGAAGCCCCGGCUAACUUCGUGCCAGCCGCCGCAGUAACAC
rnacentral:rRNA from 1 species